UAGGAAAUUUGAGAGGAGCUGUCCUUAGUACGAGAGGACCGGGAUGGACAUACCUCUGGUGUACCAGUUGUCGUGCCAACGGCAUAGCUGGGUAGCUAUGUGUGGACGGGAUAAGUGCUGAAAGCAUCUAAGCAUGAAGCCCCCCUCAAGAUGAGAUUUCCCAACUUCGGUUAUAAGAUCCCUCAAAGAUGAUGAGGUUAAUAGGUUCGAGGUGGAAGCAUGGUGACAUGUGGAGCUGACGAAUACUAAUCGAUCGAAGACUUAAUCAAAA
rnacentral:rRNA from 1 species